rnacentral:rRNA from 1 species
AGUGAACGCUGGCGGUAGGCCUAACACAUGCAAGUCGAACGGCAGCACAGUAAGAGCUUGCUCUUACGGGUGGCGAGUGGCGGACGGGUGAGGAAUACAUCGGAAUCUACUUUUUCGUGGGGGAUAACGUAGGGAAACUUACGCUAAUACCGCAUACGACCUACGGGUGAAAGCAGGGGAUCUUCGGACCUUGCGCGAUUGAAUGAGCCGAUGUCGGAUUAGCUAGUUGGCGGGGUAAAGGCCCACCAAGGCGACGAUCCGUAGCUGGUCUGAGAGGAUGAUCAGCCACACUGGAACUGAGACACGGUCCAGACUCCUACGGGAGGCAGCAGUGGGGAAUAUUGGACAAUGGGCGCAAGCCUGAUCCAGCCAUACCGCGUGGGUGAAGAAGGCCUUCGGGUUGUAAAGCCAUUUUGUUGGGAAAGAAAAGCAGCAGGUUAAUACCCCGCUGUUCGGACGGUACCCAAAGAAGAAGCACCGGCUAACUUCGU